rnacentral:rRNA from 1 species
GUUAAGCGACUAAGCGUACACGGUGGAUGCCCUGGCAGUCAGAGGCGAUGAAGGACGUGCUAAUCUGCGAUAAGCGUCGGUAAGGUGAUAUGAACCGUUAUAACCGGCGAUUUCCGAAUGGGGAAACCCAGUGUGAUUCGUCACACUAUCAUUAACUGAAUCCAUAGGUUAAUGAGGCGAACCGGGGGAACUGAAACAUCUAAGUACCCCGAGGAAAAGAAAUCAACCGAGAUUCCCCCAGUAGCGGCGAGCGAACGGGGAGCAGCCCAGAGCCUGAAUCAGUGUGUGUGUUAGUGGAAGCGUCUGGAAAGGCGUGCGAUACAGGGUGACAGCCCCGUACACAAAAAUGCACAUACUGUGAGCUCGAUGAGUAGGGCGGGACACGUGGUAUCCUGUCUGAAUAUGGGGGGACCAUCCUCCAAGGCUAAAUACUCCUGACUGACCGAUAGUGAACCAGUACCGUGAGGGAAAGGCGAAAAGAACCCCGGCGAGGGGAGUGAAAAAGAACCUGAAACCGUGUACGUACAAGCAGUGGGAGCACGCUUAGGCGUGUGACUGCGUACCUUUUGUAUAAUGGGUCAGCGACUUAUAUUCUGUAGCAAGGUUAACCGAAUAGGGGAGCCGAAGGGAAACCGAGUCUUAACUGGGCGUUAAGUUGCAGGGUAUAGACCCGAAACCCGGUGAUCUAGCCAUGGGCAGGUUGAAGGUUGGGUAACACUAACUGGAGGACCGAACCGACUAAUGUUGAAAAAUUAGCGGAUGACUUGUGGCUGGGGGUGAAAGGCCAAUCAAACCGGGAGAUAGCUGGUUCUCCCCGAAAGCUAUUUAGGUAGCGCCUCGUGAAUUCAUCUCCGGGGGUAGAGCACUGUUUCGGCAAGGGGGUCAUCCCGACUUACCAACCCGAUGCAAACUGCGAAUACCGGAGAAUGUUAUCACGGGAGACACACGGCGGGUGCUAACGUCCGUCGUGAAGAGGGAAACAACCCAGACCGCCAGCUAAGGUCCCAAAGUCAUGGUUAAGUGGGAAACGAUGUGGGAAGGCCCAGACAGCCAGGAUGUUGGCUUAGAAGCAGCCAUCAUUUAAAGAAAGCGUAAUAGCUCACUGGUCGAGUCGGCCUGCGCGGAAGAUGUAACGGGGCUAAACCAUGCACCGAAGCUGCGGCAGCGACGCUUAUGCGUUGUUGGGUAGGGGAGCGUUCUGUAAGCCUGUGAAGGUGUACUGUGAGGUAUGCUGGAGGUAUCAGAAGUGCGAAUGCUGACAUAAGUAACGAUAAAGCGGGUGAAAAGCCCGCUCGCCGGAAGACCAAGGGUUCCUGUCCAACGUUAAUCGGGGCAGGGUGAGUCGACCCCUAAGGCGAGGCCGAAAGGCGUAGUCGAUGGGAAACAGGUUAAUAUUCCUGUACUUGGUGUUACUGCGAAGGGGGGACGGAGAAGGCUAUGUUGGCCGGGCGACGGUUGUCCCGGUUUAAGCGUGUAGGCUGGUUUUCCAGGCAAAUCCGGAAAAUCAAGGCCGAGGCGUGAUGACGAGGCACUACGGUGCUGAAGCAACAAAUGCCCUGCUUCCAGGAAAAGCCUCUAAGCAUCAGGUAACAUCAAAUCGUACCCCAAACCGACACAGGUGGUCAGGUAGAGAAUACCAAGGCGCUUGAGAGAACUCGGGUGAAGGAACUAGGCAAAAUGGUGCCGUAACUUCGGGAGAAGGCACGCUGAUACGUAGGUGAAGCGACUUGCUCGUGGAGCUGAAAUCAGUCGAAGAUACCAGCUGGCUGCAACUGUUUAUUAAAAACACAGCACUGUGCAAACACGAAAGUGGACGUAUACGGUGUGACGCCUGCCCGGUGCCGGAAGGUUAAUUGAUGGGGUUAGCGCAAGCGAAGCUCUUGAUCGAAGCCCCGGUAAACGGCGGCCGUAACUAUAACGGUCCUAAGGUAGCGAAAUUCCUUGUCGGGUAAGUUCCGACCUGCACGAAUGGCGUAAUGAUGGCCAGGCUGUCUCCACCCGAGACUCAGUGAAAUUGAACUCGCUGUGAAGAUGCAGUGUACCCGCGGCAAGACGGAAAGACCCCGUGAACCUUUACUAUAGCUUGACACUGAACAUUGAGCCUUGAUGUGUAGGAUAGGUGGGAGGCUUUGAAGUGUGGACGCCAGUCUGCAUGGAGCCGACCUUGAAAUACCACCCUUUAAUGUUUGAUGUUCUAACGUGGACCCGUAAUCCGGGUUGCGGACAGUGUCUGGUGGGUAGUUUGACUGGGGCGGUCUCCUCCUAAAGAGUAACGGAGGAGCACGAAGGUUGGCUAAUCCUGGUCGGACAUCAGGAGGUUAGUGCAAUGGCAUAAGCCAGCUUGACUGCGAGCGUGACGGCGCGAGCAGGUGCGAAAGCAGGUCAUAGUGAUCCGGUGGUUCUGAAUGGAAGGGCCAUCGCUCAACGGAUAAAAGGUACUCCGGGGAUAACAGGCUGAUACCGCCCAAGAGUUCAUAUCGACGGCGGUGUUUGGCACCUCGAUGUCGGCUCAUCACAUCCUGGGGCUGAAGUAGGUCCCAAGGGUAUGGCUGUUCGCCAUUUAAAGUGGUACGCGAGCUGGGUUUAGAACGUCGUGAGACAGUUCGGUCCCUAUCUGCCGUGGGCGCUGGAGAACUGAGGGGGGCUGCUCCUAGUACGAGAGGACCGGAGUGGACGCAUCACUGGUGUUCGGGUUGUCAUGCCAAUGGCACUGCCCGGUAGCUAAAUGCGGAAGAGAUAAGUGCUGAAAGCAUCUAAGCACGAAACUUGCCCCGAGAUGAGUUCUCCCUGACCCUUUAA